AAUGAAUUCAAGUUUUAUUUUGACUGAAGAGGGAGGGAGUUCCUGGGAAAAGUCUGCUCUCCUAGGAUGUCAACGUUGUGUGUGAGGGAUGAAAUCUGCUAGGAGAUCUGAGAGGCUCUGGCAUCGGGACAUUUUGCUGUUUAAACAGAUGUCUAAAGCUUCCAUUCCCCCUGGUGGUGCCUUAGCUCCCAAAGGACACUUGAUAACAGUUUGUUUUAACACAGACUACAUGGGAUACACACAGGAGCAUGUGGCUGCCAAUGAAUAUGGGGCUUCUGGCCUGUCAGAUAAAACAGGUAAAUAACAAAUUCUGUAAAGUGUGUUCUUUUUUUUUUUUAAAUAGCAAAGCUGAAGUUGCUUGCUAAAUGUGAGUGAAAUUAAGAACUUAGGUGGAGUGUGCUGAAAUAAGAUUCAUUUGGUUUUACAAAACACAUGAGAUCAUCUGCAGUCAUCUAGGGAUCGUAGAGCUCAACAGUUGGAAACUACUUGGUUGGGUGUGUCCCUAAGUUUUGCAUGUGAAAAGUGAAAAAGAGUGGAAUGUAGACUGCAGUACAAGCUGUAGUCAGGGAUUUCGGAUUCUAACCAUGGUUCUGCUGGUAACCGGUUCCCUCACCUAAAUGAGGGAACUGACUUAAUUUCUCAAGGUAAGUGUUUUUUGGUGAUAAAAAUCAAGGGUUUUGCCAUAUAUCAACAUGAAUCCGCCAAUUGUAAAGUUAAAAAAUAAAAUUAAUUAAAAAAAACA
rnacentral:lncRNA from 1 species